UACGUAGGGUCCGAGCGUUGUCCGGAAUUAUUGGGCGUAAAGGGCUCGUAGGCGGUUUGUCGCGUCGGGAGUGAAAACCUACAGCUUAACUGUGGGCUUGCUUUCGAUACGGGCAGACUUGAGGCAUGCAGGGGGAGAACGGAAUUCCUGGUGUAGCGGUGAAAUGACGCAGAUAUCAGGAGGAACACCGGUGGCGAAGGCGGUUCUCUGGGCAUGUUCUGACGCUGAGGCACGAAAGCGUGGGGAGCAAACAGG
rnacentral:rRNA from 1 species